rnacentral:rRNA from 1 species
GAGCACGUAGGUGGGUUUGUAAGUCGGUAUGUGAAAUCCCUCGACUUAACCGAGGAACUGCAUCUGAUACUGCAGGACUAGAGUUCAGGAGGGGAGAGUGGAAUUCCUGGUGGAGCGGUGAAAUGCGUAGAUAUCAGGAGGAACGCCGGUGGCGAAAGCGACUCUCUGGACUGCAACUGACGCUGAGGUGCGAAAGCCAGGGGAGCGAACGGGAUUAGAUACCCCGGUAGUCCUGGCCCUAAACGAUGGGCACUAAGUAGAGGGGUUUU